rnacentral:rRNA from 1 species
UGAGUAACCUGCCCUUAACUCUGGGAUAAGCCUGGGAAACUGGGUCUAAUACCGGAUAUGACUCCUCAUCGCAUGGUGGGGGGUGGAAAGCUUUAUUGUGGUUUUGGAUGGACUCGCGGCCUAUCAGCUUGUUGGUGAGGUAAUGGCUCACCAAGGCGACGACGGGUAGCCGGCCUGAGAGGAUGGCCAGCCACAUUGGGACUGAGACACGGCCCAGACUCCGUACGGGAGGNAG